rfam:Salmo salar isolate Sally breed double haploid chromosome ssa05, whole genome shotgun sequence.
CACAUGCAUUACUGUCAGUCACUUUGGAUAAAAGUGUCUGCUAAAUGACAUGUA